rnacentral:lncRNA from 1 species
CAUUUCAUAUUUGCAAGUACACAUAAAGGUAUCCUUCAUCAGCAGCACAGUGCUUCCUUUCCUCUGAAUCUGCCAUCAGCUCAGGCAGAUUUCUAAGCAGCAAAUCAGCCUUUGCCAGAACACUGCAGGACACCAGUGCAGCGCCCAGCCUGCGACCAUGAGGCUCUAGGGGAUGGUAGAGUCACAGGAUGGAAGAACUCUGUGUCCUUGAAUCAUUGCAUGGAAGAGAACUGGAAGUUGCCCAGGAACACCAGCCUUGGACAGUUAUGUGAACAAGAAAUAAACUUCUUUUACAGUGUCA